ensembl:lncRNA
CACGUAAUCGUCAGACAGAACGAGCGAUUUGAGCGAUUCGCUUAUAUAUAUAAAAGAAAAUCAGUUAUUUUCCAUCGCCUUGAUUCCGCCCAUAUCAUCGGGGUGUCCGCCUUGUUCGAGGGGCUGGUCGUAGAGGUCCGAUGCGUCACGUUUAUUUGGGCCUUCUGCAUCCCACUGGCAGGGAAGCGCCCGAUUUUUUUUUCUCCUCCUUGCCUUACAACGUUCUGUAUAUGUUUAUUCCAAGCGUGGAUCUUCUGGAAAACAAGGUAUCGAAGGGAAGUCGCGACGCAAAGUAUGCAUUUGGAGACAAUUCUUUGCCGUUUACUGGAUGAAAUUUCAGGCACCCCCUUGGAUUGGUAUUUAAUUCAGGUCCCAAAGUGCUGAUC